rnacentral:rRNA from 1 species
AUUGAACGCUGGCGGCAGGCUUAACACAUGCAAGUCGAGCGAGCGGCGGACGGGUGAGUAAUGUCUGGGAAACUGCCUGAUGGAGGGGGAUAACUACUGGAAACGGUAGCUAAUACCGCAUACCAUCAGAUGUGCCCAGAUGGGAUUAGCUAGUAGGUGGGGUAAUGGCUCACCUAGGCGACGAUCCCUAGCUGGUCGGAGAGGAGGACCAGCAACACGGGAACUGAGACACGGACCAGACGCCUACGGGAGGCAGGAGUGGGGAAUAGUGCACAAUGGGCGAAAGCCUGAUGCAGCAAGUCCGCGGGUGUGAAGAAGGCCUUCGGGUUGUAAAGCACUUUCAGCGAGGAGGCGUUACUCGCAGAAGAAGCACCGGCUAACUCCGUGCCAGCAGCCGCGGUAAUAC